ensembl:lncRNA
GGAUCAUUCAGGGCACUGAGGCCCUCCAGAGGUGUUGCAGACCAAUGAAUCUGACUACAUCACUAUGUGUCUGUCUGUCUAUGGAGCACGAAGAGGAAUGAAUCAUCAUGGUGUGCUGCAUUUCCAGAUUGCCUGGAUGCCUGGUUUGAGAAAUAUGAACAGAUGUUAGUGGCUCUUGCUGAGACCAGAGAAGAGGACUUUGAAGCAGUCAGAGUAAUAAGAGCCCAGAUUACUGCUGUAGCUGUAUGAAUGGAAAACAGCAGAAGGCAAAAGACCAAAGAGGAAUGAGCUCUGAGGCUAAAGAGACUGGAGACUGCUGAGUAGCUACAGACAGAUUCCUCUCUGAAGUGGAGCUGCAGAAACCUGUGGAGCUUGGAAGGAACUUGCUGCAAGCACAGCCAUCCCUUCCUAGCAAUGCUUUAGGGUACGGAUCUGUUGCCCUUCUCUGUUUCCACCUUGUAACUAUUGGACAUGAGAAACUCCACAGGAGUAGGAUGAGCUUCUCUGCUCCCAUGAGAUUUUUCACUCACCGCUUUACAAAAUGUGUGCUUAGCUCUGAAGUGUUCCAGACUGAAUUAAUUACUAAGCAACUUUGGUACCACGCUAUGCACUCCUCUCAGUUGUCUUCCCACACAUGAUGAGUACAACCAAGCUUGUAUCCAGCAGCUCUGAAGAAGCUGAAGAAAUAGAGAGUUUCUGUUUCUGCCCAAAGUGACUGGGGCAAUCAAUCCCAACGUGGGCUCAGCUGGAGGCAUUUUCCUUCACCUCUCUACUUCUGCUAUGGCUAUGUGAGAAAGCAAGGGGGUGAUUUUGCACAGGACCGCAGCUGUUUUUCUCCACAAUAAACAAAAAUCAGAGGCUGAAAUGUGAAGUUUUGUGUGAAAUCUAUUUGUCUUUGUCCAAGGGCCUCUGGCUCGCCACACAGGUGCGAGCAGACAGAGGAAGCACUCAGAGGGACGUGAGGGGAGCGGCGUCCAACUCAGCUAACCUGGGCCUGGCCCCCAUUCAGGCCCAGCCAGCAGGUAGGGAGGCCAUUUUUAGCUUGCUG